GACGAACGCUGGCGGCGUGCCUAAUACAUGCAAGUCGAACGCAGUGGGGACGGGUGAGUAACACGUGGGUAACCUCCCAUCAGAGGGGAUAACCCUUGGAAACAGGUGCUAAAACGAUACUGAUGGAUGGAACCGCGGUGCAUGAGCUCGAGGGUGGGGCAACGGCUCACAAAGGCCACGAUGCAUAGCCGACCGUAGAGGGGGAUCGGCCACACUGGAACUGAGACACGGCCCAGACUCCUACGGGAGGCAGCAGUAGGGAAUCGUCGGCAAUGGACGAAAGUCUGACCGAGCAACGCCGCGUGAGUGAAGAAGGUUUUCGGAUCGUAAAACUCUGUUGUUAGAGAAGCGGUAUCUAACCAGAAAGCCACGGCUAACUACGUGCCAGCAGCCGCGGUAAUAC
rnacentral:rRNA from 1 species